rnacentral:lncRNA from 1 species
CUCUCAACUAUACCACUUGAAAAUAUUUAAACUAAGACCCUUAUAAUUAUUACUACCAUUUUGUUAUCACCAAUCAAAAUCAAAAUAUUGUAGAAACCAAUAUAUCAGAAACAAAAAUGACAUUAGAAUUGCUUACAGUCUAAUUAAGUGGAACAAUACACUUUAAACAUGGAAAAAUAUACAGGAACAAAAGCCAAGAAUAUUUGAUAGACUUUAAGACAGAAAUCACUUCUGAAGACAGAACUUGAAGGAGAUAAUUCUCUAAUUAAGAGAUGUUUUCCACUUUUAAGUUGAAUUUUCCUAAGCGUUGAAUCCAUAUUAUAGAAAAUCCCUGGAGAAUUUAGUUGCAGCUUAGCUACCCAGCUAAUACAUUAUUUGUCUAGAAUUCAACUAGCCAAAGGGGUGGAGUGGGAGAAGAAAAAAAAAUUCAAAAGCAGUGCUCUCACAGAGAAAAUUCUCUAGAGGCUAUAAAUUCCUCAAUAAAUACAUGAUAAAUAAAUUUAUUUGGAGUGACAAGGCAGCUGCCAAAUAAACCUUAUCCCUAGUGUGCCUUAUAAUAUCUAAACACUCCUCCAAUGGAAAUAAUAGAAAUCUAUUUGUAUAUCAAUGUACAGUUCAAAGAAUAUUUUUCAUUUGCUUUGCUCAAUUUAAUCUUCAUAUUGUCUUUGAAAUAUAGGUAUUAUUAUUUAUGUCCCUGCUUUGGAGAUGAGGAAACCAACUAAUGGAAUUUAAAUAUGAAGAGUUGAGCUGGAGAAAGAGAAGAAAAUGGACUCAGGUUUCUCCAUGGACACCCCUCAGCCACGCACCAAGUUCUAAUACAUUUGGCUUACCUGUAAUGAGAGUAGGGAAGCAAAAAGAAGCAAAGCCUAUGGGAAGAGGACUGAGAACUAUGCUGAGCUGUGAGGGGGAUACAGAAACAAAUAAGGCACAGGCCUACUCUCUUUGGACUUUCCAUGCAACUGUGAAGGGCCUAUGUAAUAAGAGUCAUGUUUGA